rnacentral:rRNA from 1 species
UGGGGAAUUUUGCGCAAUGGGCGAAAGCCUGACGCAGUAACGCCGCGUGGAGGAUGAAUGCCUUCGGGUUGUAAACUCCUGUCAGGGGGAACGACGAAGAAAGGGUGAUAAAUUCUUUCUUUCAGACGGUACCUCCAAAGGAAGCCCCGGCUAAUUCCGUGCCAGCAGCCGCGGUAAUACGGAAGGGGCAAGCGUUGUUCGGAAUCAUUGGGCGUAAAGGGCGCGUAGGUGGUUCUGUAUGUCUACUGUGAAAGCGUACAGCUCAACUGUAUUUUGUCGGUAGAAACUGCAGGACUUGAGGCUGGGAGGGGCUGGUGGAAUUCCCUGUGUAGCGGUGAAAUGCGUAGAGAUGGGGGAGAACACUCGUGGCGAAGGCGGCCAGCUAGACCAGUUCUGACACUGAGGCGCGACAGCGUGGGGAGCAAACA